rnacentral:tRNA from 1 species
GCUGGUUUAGCUCAUCAGGUAGAGCGGCCGCCUUGUAAGCAGCGGGCGGCGGGUUCGAGUCCUGCAACCAGCACCA